AACGAACGCUGGCGGCAGGCCUAACACAUGCAAGUCGAGCGCACCCUUCGGGGUGAGCGGCGGACGGGUGAGUAACGCGUGGGAACGUGCCCUUCUCUGCGGAAUAGCCUCGGGAAACUGAGAGUAAUACCGCAUACGCCCUUUGGGGGAAAGAUUUAUCGGAGAAGGAUCGGCCCGCGUUGGAUUAGGUAGUUGGUGGGGUAAUGGCCCACCAAGCCGACGAUCCAUAGCUGGUUUGAGAGGAUGAUCAGCCACACUGGGACUGAGACACGGCCCAGACUCCUACGGGAGGCAGCAGUGGGGAAUCUUAGACAAUGGGGGCAACCCUGAUCUAGCCAUGCCGCGUGAGUGAUGAAGGCCUUAGGGUUAUAAAGCUCUUUCAGCUGGGAAGAUAAUGACGGUACCAGCAGAAGAAGCCCCGGCUAACUCCGUG
rnacentral:rRNA from 1 species